GUCCCGAAUAAUUCAGGCUGUUCUGGAGGCAAAGGGGGUCUGACCCAGUACUAGAUGGGUGUACCUAAUAAACUUGCCGGUGAGUGUAUGGAACUACAAUAUAAAUGCAUACGUUUUAGGCCACUUCAUGUAAACGCAAAGCCUUUUGUGUAUGUAAUAUAAAAUAUAGAACUGUAUAUUUAUUAAAGUCUGUAAAAAUGAGUGCCUCAACAUUUAAGGGCCCUUAGAGUACAUGGAGAAUAGAUUGCAAAGGGGGGGGGCUGAUAGGGAAGAAGAGAACAAUUCAUAUUGUACAAAGGGAUAGUCAGUGUCGAUUUUCUAUCAAUAUUGGUCCUCUGGUUGUUAGGAGAGAGAGUAUCUCCCUUGACACCCUUUCGCCACUGUAUGUAGCCUACACAAAAUUUGUAUUAAUCUUUUGUAUAAUAUUGCUUUGCGUUAUCAUUAAAAUAUGGAGUUUUUAUAAUGAUAAUUAUUGUUUUAUUGUGAAAAUGACUGAAAAAAACUAUCGAGCAAAAUGUGUUAAUAUUUCUCUAAAAAUAUGUCAGAAAGUAAAUUAUAUAUUUACAAAUAUUUUUUAACUGUUACAUUUGUGGCCACAAAAUGUAAAUUAGGCCCCUAUGUCUUUUUAUAGCCCUAGUAGGCCUAGAGGAUACCCCACACUACAGCAUUUCUUUGGUGAAUUUUGUGCGCCCCCUGGAGAUCAAUUUAUGAGUAUUUAAAAUGUAACUUGUGAAAAAUAUAUCAAAUAUUUCAAUAGGCCUUUUGUUUAGAAAAACAAUCAUAUCCUUAGGCCUAAUGAAUUAUAGAAGAGACCUGAAAACUAAUGUGUUAAUUUCAAAGAAUCUAUCUCAUAAGAUUUGUUGUGUGAUUUGCAGAACUUUAUUUUUCUUGUAUGUUGCUCAUAUGAGGAAUCUACAGGAUUUCAAAACAGCUGGUCAUCAUUCUGAUCUUGCACAACAGUUCCUUUGCGACGCGCCCCUUGGGAUCUCCGUCAUCCCCGAUGAAACAACGGAAGCCCAUUCAUUUUCAUUGAAGGAAGCGAAGUGGUAGGGGCGAACAUUGGGCGACGCGAGCGUGGAAGACGGAGCGUGAACAGGGCGGGACCAAAAUUGGGGAAAGCAGGCCUACACAUGCCUCCUCUCCUCUUGUGCUCAACCCUCCCAGAGUGGUGGUGAGAUAUGGAGACUCAGUCUCAGUCAACUGCAGCACAUCAUCCACAGACCACGAGGGGAUGGGCUGGGAGGCCGCAUACGGAGGUACAGGUUUAGAACAAGCUGUCAACAUUGUCAUAUGGACUGUGGAUAACCUUACUGAUUGGACAAUAGAACCUAAAUGCUACAUCACCCUCACUAACAGCGACCAACCCAUAGAAGUGCUUCCAGUCAUUCUUUACAAGACUCCAGACAGCGUCUCCAUCUCUCCUCUGAGCCACUCUGGUCCCAUGGUGGAGGGGACAGAGUACCAGCUGCAGUGUGACAUACAGAACAUCGCUCCUCUACAGAACCUGGUUGUGAAGUGGUACAAAGGGAAUUAGACCCCCCAACCUAUUCCAGACCUGAAGCUGAGACCCUGGACAUCAGAGUGGGGGAGAAAACCACCUUAAAUGGCACGGCUACUGGAAGGCCCACUCCUCUGUACAGUUGGCAGUCUUCAGAUGUCCAAGAAGCUCUUUUCCCCGCCUCCUCCGAGCUCCCAGGAACCUACACCUGCACUGCCUCCAAUCUGAUAGGCAAGAACAGCAAGACAUUCACUGUGAAUCCCAAACCUAAAGGGAACAUUCUAUGCCAUCUUAGGAUCGGGCCUGGGCCUGGCCUUGCUGGUCGGGAUUGGCUAUUUCUUUGUCAAACAGACAGCAGGUCCCAACUCCAUCAUCUGAGCAGGCCAGAGGAAGAGCAAUUCUAUCGCCAGUCUGACCAGCAGGACUUCCUCAACAGACACUCUAUGAAUAAUAAUGGUUGCUUAUUUAAUUAUUAUGAUGGAUGGCUUCAAUCCUGCAUGGCUUAUAAAUCCAAAGAGUGCUUUCUAUUAGCCUACUCCACCCAAUGGCUUUGUGCCAUUUGGAUGUGGUGUUGCGUUGUUUUGAAUGUGGCUUGUGCUGUGUCUGUGUAAGCAUGUGGCGCGACACUACAAAGCAUUCAUUCACAGGCAUGUGUGUCCUGUUUUAUUAUUUGUUUUAUAAUCAAGCAUACCUGAAUGUAGUUUCUCUUCUCACAGCAACUGUGUCUCUGUCACGGAGGUAAAGCGGCUGUGAAAAGAGACUAGCCUGAUCGCUGUAGUCUGAUGACAGCACCAAGUGACCUUAUGUGACUGUACAGUGAGAAAUGAGCCAUGCAAUGCAUCACUUCCUAUCUAAUGCUUUUUUUUAGUUAUUGCUCUAAAUUGGUGAUACCAGAGCAUUUUAACUGAUUAAGUUCGCUAUUCCAAGAGCCACAGGCAGCAUCUCUCCUCAUUAUCUCUGCCCACACUCUUCCACUUUAUUUCUCUCUUUUACCAUCACAACACCCUUGAUUCUCAGUAUUGUCAGUAUGCUUGAUGAUAGCAUUAAUCAUUGGUCUUUCACUUUCUCAACCUAUAUCUGUGGACCAUAGGGAAGCGAACAUCCAAACCGUCAUGAUCCCCAUGGACAGUCUCCUGCACACAGGCUCAGGGCUGUGAAGAGAGAAAGUCCACUAAUGUGUUUUAUCUUUCUCAGGUGAAUAGGCUACACAGUCAUAUCUCACCAUAGCUGGCUCACAUGGUACUUUAAGAUGUUGCAAUACUGUGUGUUACUUGAAACAAUGCCCUGAGAUGAUGAUGUUACUUGCCACUUCUUUCUGUUUUGACAAGAGUGCAGUGGCACAGUCCUUCAAUCAUCACAUUCAUGCUAGAUAUUUCAAGGUAUGAUUACAGUGUUAAGCGCAAGGUAUGUUCAGUUCACGUUGCGCAGGGCUGGAAUAGCAUUGGUGCAGUUGGAAAUAGUGCUUGUAAGGUGCACACAACACUAUUUGAGUUGCACUAUUGUAAAUUAGCUUUUUACAUGUAAUGUUUGUGUAUUGUGUCACUAACUAAUUAUGUGUUUAUUGUCAAUUUCAUUUCAGCACUGAAUGUUGUUAUAUGCUCUCUUUAACAGUCACUUACAGUCAUGCUCUACAUUAUUUAGACAUUUUUGUCAGCUUGCUUAUGUUUAUAUGACCUCUGUGAUGUAUGUGAGGGUUUCCAUCUGACUGCUCUUCCGUUCAGACAUUUAGUUCUCUCUUCGGAAUGCUGAUACUGUCAGGCUCAGCAUUGAGAUUCCGUUUCAUGCAGUGUUCUACUGCAACCUAUUUAGGUGAGAAUGAUGCUGUCUUUAAUUUCCCUUUUCAAUAGUGCUGUAACAUUGGUUGAAAGUGUUGAAUCGACAAUGUAGGUGAUGUUUACCAUGCAUACACAGCAUUCACUGUCAAACAUCAACCAGCUAUACUCAUUGAGUUCAAGUUUUGAAAGAAUCAGUCUUUCACUGUGACAUGUUCCUCUACUGUCUUUUGUAUGCCAUUGUGAACCUUUCUCUCAUUGUCUCCCAUACAUCACUGUAGCAGUGACACUUCCAUACUAGUCAGUGCAAACUAAGGUCAAUGUGAAGCAAAGCAUGAAAGUCCAUCUGUUAUCCUGUCUAAGGUGGCUCAUAUAAAUACUUCCUUUUUCAGAA